rnacentral:rRNA from 1 species
CGGACGGGUGAGUAAUGUCUGGGAAACUGCCUGAUGGAGGGGGAUAACUACUGGAAACGGUAGCUAAUACCGCAUAACGUCGCAAGACCGAAGAGGGGGACCUUAGGGCCUCUUGCCAUCGGAUGUGCCCAGAUGGGAUUAGCUAGUAGGUGGGGUAACGGCUCACCUAGGCGACGAUCCCUAGCUGGUCUGAGAGGAUGACCAGCCACACUGGAACUGAGACACGGUCCAG